CUCCAGCCAGCACAAUGUUGCACUCAGUUUCCUAACAUUCCAAGAUGAUUCAACAUUUUUGUCUCCUUCAUUGACACGGAUUUCAUAGCAAUAUGCCAGAAGGAUAUCAAUUAAACCAAGAUACACAAGAUGACGACUUGUUUUAUCCAAGAGAUAGGACUUAUUUGUGAACUUCCUCAGCUGUUCUCUCUCUUCAUCAGAGAAGAUCACAAGUGUAUGACUGCCAUGGUUCUGAC
rnacentral:lncRNA from 1 species